GGGCGCACCCUGAUCCAGCCAUGCCGCGUGAGUGAAGAAGGCCUUCGGGUUGUAAACUGCUUUUGUACGGAACGAAAAGGCUUGGGUUAAUACCUGGGGUCCAUGACGGUACCGGAAGAAUAAGCACCGGCUAACUACGUGCCAGCAGCCGCGGUAAUACGUAGGGUGCAAGCGUUAAUCGGAAUUACUGGGCGUAAAGCGUGCGCAGGCGGUUUUGUAAGACAGAUGUGAAAUCCCCGGGCUCAACCUGGGAACUGCCUUUGUGACUGCAAGGCUGGAGUUUGGCAGAGGGA
rnacentral:rRNA from 1 species